GAAAUGCGAUAAUUAAUGUGAAUUGCAGAACUCAGUGAAUCAUCGAGUCUUUGAACGCACAUUGCGCCCCCUGGUAUUCCGGGAGGCAUGCCUGUCCGAGCGUCAUUGCUGCCCUCAAGCACGGCUUGUGUGUUGGGCUUCCGUCCCUGGCAACGGGGACGGGCCCAAAAGGCAGUGGCGGCACCAUGUCUGGUCCUCGAGCGUAUGGGGCUUUGUCACCCGCUCCCGUAGGUCCAGCUGGCAGCUAGCCUCGCAACCAAUCUUUUUAACCAGGUUGACCUCGGAUCAGGUAGGGAUACCCGCUGAACUUAAGC
rnacentral:misc_RNA from 1 species